GUUUGCGCUUAUUGAAACAUUGUAACUCCUGUUCACUGUUUGCCUCCCAACACUGUAAAUUGUUCAUGACACUUGUUUUGAUCAGACUCCAUAUUGUAACAAACUCCGUUUUGAAAUGCUCACUCCCCUUUGCAAACCCUGCUGUCCCCUUAGUAACUCAGUUCAGGUGUGUGAGUGAGGGAUGCAGGGAUGAUGGAAUCAGCCUCCAGCCGCAGCCUGGCCUGACCAGGGGAAGCGCGAACACCAGUGGCUGAAGAUGCAGACAACAGCCCUGCCCAAGUGAGAAGAGUCACCCCAAAAGCAAAGAACAAA